ensembl:lncRNA
AUUAAUGGGAGGCGUUUGCAGAGGUGCCAUUUGCAACAUGUGGAUGUCCCUCCUUUUCCCUCUGCCCUACCCCCUUCCUCCCCAGAGAUUGAAAACAGAGGGAAGGAAGCCAGGAAAACAUUAAACAAGGUCUGCUGCUCUGGAGAAUGUCUAUGAAGAAAGAAAGCAGUUGAGGUUUUAUGAUUUAAAAAUGAUCACAGUGCUUCCAGAACCCUGCAAGUCGGACAAUAGCUGCCAUGUAUUGGGCGUCCACUCCAUGCCAGGUGCUGUUCUGAGCACUUACACAGACAACAUCACUCCAUCCUCAUGACCACCCACGAUGUGAGUGCUACUAUCAUCACCCAGAGUUCAGAGAUGAGGAAACUGAGGCCCAGAGAUGGCACGUCACUUCCUCCAAAGUGAUUCAGAAGGACAACCACCUAAACUGCAGCUAAACCAGCCAAUCAACACAGGUGCUGGGAUUGUGACCUUCUUCGAAACAGUUCCUCUCAGCAAAGACAUCAGGUGUCAACAACCACACGGUGGAAGGUCCCUGCGGAUGGGAUCUGCGGAAGCACUGCAAUCUCGUGGAAGUGGUCCUGGGAUGUAAAGUGAUCGAGCCAGCUGCGGAGUUCCACAUGAAUACAGGAGAUGACGUUUCCCUUGGGAGAGAAGAUCAAAGCCACCUUGGGUCCUCUUGCUGCUGAGUUUUACUCAGAGUCUUUGCAACUUCUACUCCCGCCUGCCUCUGGGGCUCUGAGACGAUGUGGGCUCAAAACUUUGGAAAAACAGAGAAAGAAUGCAGAGAAAAAUUCAUAGCUACAUAGCAUCUAAGCUUGUUGUUUCAGACGGAAAGGUCUAAGGCUUGGUUAGAGAGAGAAAUGUUUAUGGUUUGUCUGUGGGAACCUACCUCUAAACAAUCCAUUUUGAAAGACAUCAUAUAGUAAUGUAAACAGCAAAUUACUCCUGAUUAAUGCUAAAGAUGACUCCAGAAAACAAGGAGCCCAUUAAAUGGGACUUGGUAAAGAUUCUAAAAAAGAAAAAACCAAACAGGCAAGAUACUAGAAAGAGUUCUUAAGGGUAAGGAUUGUGUCUUAAUAAUUCCUAAAGCCUAGAGCCCUGUCCUCAGAUUGGAGCUCAACAAAUGUUUGUUGGAUGACUGGAUCCAUUAAUCAAUCCGUCUAAAGAGCAUUGAGUGGGAAUGGUGUGCCCAAGGUGUUUAACCUGGAAAAUUGGAGAAAUGAUAAUACCAUUGAUAGAAAAGGGGAAGCUAGAGAAAGACCUAGUCUUGGGAGUAAUUAUAAAUUAGAUUUGGCCAAUGUGUUGAGAUGAUAGUAAAGAUCCAGUUGCCCAGGGACAACAGGUAGCUGAAAAGAGAGGACUCAAGGUUGUCUUUGAUGUUCAGCAGCAUUGAGUCAGCUCUUAACUAAGGAACCAUGAUUUUAUUUGGCAUAAUCCUUUUAAAGAGAUCUUGACACAUGAUGUGGGGCCAAAUGGAGGAACUAAGGUUGUGUAGGGCUGAGAAUUGUGGCCAGAACAUUCAGCUUCAAGGAGAAUAGCCUACAGGGAUAUAUUUUGCUGUCUUUGUGCUGGAGGGUCUGACCUGCAGCAGAGGUAGACUUGCUCUGUGUCACCAACGGGAGACGAUUUGCAGUGGGUCUCUCACGUUUCUGCUCUUGUUGCAAGCAAGGCACUGACUGAUGUUUGCUCUAGACUCUUUCCAAGGAUGUUUGCUAUACAAACAUCCUUGGAAGGCAGAGAUAAGGUCUCCCUCCAGAGCAAAGGGCAGUUUUGCUUACAGCCUUGGAAGACUAACAUGGUGUCCUGGUCCAGAGCAAAGGGCAGACACGCUUACUGCUCAUUAUAAAAGAUUCAAGUUUCCUAAACUCAGGGUUCCUCUCCUCUAUCACAACCCACUGUGUGCAGAUGUUGUCUGGUCCUCUUCAUGUUGUCUUGUGGAAAUUGGGGCUUGGAGACCAGGCUCAAAAAUGCUGAUACUCUGGCUACUGCAAUUGCAAUGAGUCCUUUGUCUUUUGUCUCUGAUCCAGAAAUCUCAUGUUUUCAACCAGCAUCCAUAAAAUGGUGGCAGGCUGACUUGUUCGCUUGCAAGCAGGGAAAAAUCUCAGGCCAUUCAAAGUUUUUGAUGGUCACUUUCAGAGAUUUCUAUACUGGGGUCCAUGGGGGAACUGUAGGAGAUCCUGAAAGGAGUCUAUGAUUAAAGUCAAGUCAAAGAGAGUUCUUCUCUAGGGGAUGAGAACAGAGAGAAGAAAAGGGCCUGAUUGCUUUGGGACACUCCCUUCAUUAUGAUGUGGGCUCACAUAUUUCAGCAGCAUGUAUUAAGGAGCGUACAGGAGCAUGCAACCAAGAACACAUGGACAGACAGACAACGACAGCCAAUGGACUCUAAAUACCCUAUGAGGCAGAGCUGAGAACGGGAGGAGAGCGGAGCCUUUGAGCAGCACCUGCGGGCUCCUCUCCUCUCCUCUCCGCACCUCACUCUCGUGGCCUGCCCGUCCUGCUGCCUGGUCGCCACCCAGAACUCCUUCCACCAUGGCCACCUCAGCAAGUUCCCACUUGAACAAAGGCAUCAAGCAGGUGUACAUGUCCCUGCCUCAGGAUGAGAAAGUCCAAAGUAUGUCUAUCUGGAUUGGCGGUACUGGGGAAGGAUUGCGCUGCAAUGCCUGGGCCGGACAGGGAGCCCAAGUGUGUAGAAGAGCUGCCUGAGUGGAAUUUUGAUGGCUCUAGGACUUUUCAGUCUGAAGGCUCCAAUAGUGACAUGUAUCUCGUCCCUGCUGCUGUGUUUUGGGACCCUUUCCACAAGGACCCCAACAAGCUGUUGUUCUGUGAAGUCUUCAAGUACAACUGAAAGUCUACAGAGACCAACUUAAGGCACACCUGUAAACGGAUAAUGGACAUGGAGAGCCACCCGUCCCCCCCGGUUUGGAACGGAGCAGGAAUAAAUGCUCAUGGGCAUAGAUGGGCAACCUUCUGGUUGGGCUUCCAAUGGCUUCCCUGGGUCCCAAUGUCCAUACUACUGUGGUGUGGGAGCAGACAAAGCUUAUGGCAGGGAUAGUGUGGAGGUUUACUACCGGGCCUGCUUGUACGCCAGCGUCAAGAUUGCAGGGAGAAAUGCCGAGGUCAUGCCUGCCCAGUGGGAAUUCCAGAUAGGACCCUGUGAAGGAAUCGACAUGGGAGAUCAUCUCUAGGUGGCCCAUUUCAUCUUGCAUUGUGUGUGUCAAGACUUUGGAGUGAUAGUAACCUUUGAUCCUAAGCCCAUUCCUGGGAAGUAGAAGGGUGCAGGCUGCCACACCAACUUCAGCACCAAGGCCACGCGAGAGGAGAAUGGUCUGAAGUACACUGGGGAGGCCACUGAGAAACUGAGCAAGAAGCAUCAGUACCACAUCCGAGCCUACGAUCCCAAGGGGGGCUUGGACAAUGCCCGGUGCCUGACUGGAUUCCACGAAACCUCCAACAUCAAUGACAUUUCUGCUGGCGUGGCCAACCAUAGUGCUAGCAUCCACACUCCCCAGGCCGUCAGCCAGGAAAAGAUGGGUUACUUUGAAGACUGUUGCCCCUCUGCCAACUGUGACCCCUUUUCGGUGACAGAAGCCCUCAUCCACAUGUGUUUUCUCAACGAAACUGGUGAUGAGCCCUUCCAAUACAAAAACUAAGUGGACUAGACUUGCAGCCAUCAAACCUCUCCUGAUUCUACAUUCCACUGUCGCCCCUCUCUCAAUUGUUCUAAUAGCUGUAAAUCAAAGGGCAGAAUAGCAAGUUCUUUUUUUUUUUUUUUAUUCUUCGUGCCCAGUUAACCUCUUGCUUUUUUUGGCCAGGAUAGAUGGGUCAAGUUCUUAAUCUCUUCACACACCCCCCACCCCCUUUUUUCCUAUCACUGAAGCUUUCUAGUGUGUUAGUGGGGAGGGCGGUGGGGAAACAUAACCACUGCUUCCCUUCAGUCAGGUGUGUUCGUCCAAUAGGCGUGUCCAUCCGAACAGAGAGCACAGCAUUUGUGAUGGAGGGCGAGGUCUUUUCUUCAAGGUAGCUGAGUGGGGAGAGGACUGACUUACACUGUGGUUAGGUUAGGAUUUCCUCUCUCAGUGGGAAGUUCCAUUUCUCAUAAAGUUAUAAUCAACUUUGUGUUAAAAGCGAAGAUUGGGAGAGAAGGAAGACUGGGGAUCAGGUCGGAAAACACUCUGUGCUCCUAGUGUGGUGCCUCCCUUGCCUGCAGCUAAAUGCCCUCACCUGAAGACGACCCAGGCUGAAUGGAUGGACAGCCCUACCUUAGCAGAAAAGCUCUUAUUGCUUGGUCCUCCAUUUAUAACACAAAGCAGAGUAUUUUUAUAUUUAAGUGUAAAAACAAGAAAAUUAUAUAAACGGGUAUGCAGAAAUGUGUGGGUUUUUUUCCUAAAAGAAAAACCAUUCUCAUCACUGGGAGCCAAAUCUGCGGCAAGUAGUCUGGUUAGGCACGGGGACGUCCUUUUCAGUGGGGUGAGGGAGGCGGUGCUUGAAAAGUUGGCUGUUGGGGGCUGUUAGUCCCUUGCUACCACUUAAGGGUUUCCCUGCCCUGCCCACCCUUCUGGAGGGGUGGACACUUUUCCAGUAACAAGUGGCAGCAGUCACCAGAGCCCCGGGGCUUUGGUUUAAAGGACGCACAUGUACUUGUACACACAGGGGUUAGAAACAUGAGUUGCCUGGUCAAUUUGAGCAUGUUCCUGACAAGGGGUUUGGGGAUUACUUUCUUGUGGGACUAG